AUUGAACGCUGGCGGCAUGCCUUACACAUGCAAGUCGAACGGCAGCACGGACUUCGGUCUGGUGGCGAGUGGCGAACGGGUGAGUAAUAUAUCGGAACAUACCUUGUAGUGGGGGAUAACUAUCCGAAAGGAUAGCUAAUACCGCAUACGCUCUAAGGAGGAAAGCGGGGGAUCGUAAGACCUCGUGCUAUAAGAGUGGCCGAUAUCUGAUUAGCUAGUUGGUGAGGGAAAGGCUCACCAAGGCGACGAUCAGUAGCUGGUCUGAGAGGACGACCAGCCACACUGGAACUGAGACACGGUCCAGACUCCUACGGGAGGCAGCAGUGGGGAAUUUUGGGCAAUGGGGGCAACCCUGAUCCAGCAAUGCCGCGUGAGUGAAGAAGGCCUUCGGGUUGUAAAGCUCUUUUGUCAGGGAAGAAACGGUUGUGGCUAAUAUCCAUGGCUAAUGACGGUACCUGAAGAAUAAGCACCGGCUAACUACGUGCCAGCAGCCGCCGUAAGAC
rnacentral:rRNA from 1 species